GCUAAGCGGGGAGGGAGGGGUGUUCCCCCUCCAGCGGGGAGGGAGGGGGGCUUGGGCAGGAUUGUGACAUAAGAUCACCCUGGUGACAUGGAGCAGAACUGGACCCAAUCCUAAUAAAGGUAGUGUAAAUAAAGGUGUCAUAAAGGACCAGGCAGGGCGCAUGCUUGUCAGGGACACCAGCCUCUAGGGGCUGCCAGAAUGGUUCCUGCUCAAUGCGUGGUGCCAGCGCUUGUCAUGUCUGAGCUAAGUCUCUGAGCCCUAUGGCCCCUCCUUAUGUGGCAACUAUUGUGGCUACUAGUCCAGUAGGCUCAGCCUCUGGAGUGGGUCAAGGACCUGCUCCAGCUGACCUCUUACCCCCUGGUGGGGCCGACUGAGCCCUGAUCUUCCAGCUCCUCUGAUGGGAAUCUCUCCAUGGGCCUACUUUCCCGGCAGACUCAGGGAGCUUUGAUUACCUGGGGUCCUCUGCUUCCUCCCAGAGGUCAGCCCCGUCCCAGGAAUCGAUUGAGAAUUUAGUUGAAUUUCUGGACACAGAUUCAGCUGGAGAGCUGCCCCCGGGGCCCGAGCACUUCUCAUCUGCACACCCGGAUCUGAAUGAUAAGCUGACUUGGCAAGAAAGGCUCCCAGAGGUGGGUCCAAUGCCGGACUGGGAUCAGAACCAGACCCUCGUUCAGCCUCCUCGCCUCAAAAGCAAGGUUCAAACUGCAGAUCUAGAUCAGGCUGCAGAUCAUCAGGCAGAUGAAAUAAUUUGUUCCACCUCUAGAAAGUAAGGAUUCAAAAGCAACGGAGUUUAUAGUUUCUCCCAAGAACCUGAAGAAAGAUUUAGCUCAGCAUUGGAGCCUUGCUAAGGCUGUGGGAAUUCCACAUCAAUUGGUAUCAAAACCUCAGCAUCAGAAACAAACUUUGCAGGAUGAGUAUUUAGAUUCAAGUAUGGAUAUGCUGUAUCCCGGCAGCCUGCCUCCAGGUGAACUCCAGGUGAACUCAGAUGAGCCUCCAGGGCCCCGUGAGCAAGUUGGACUGUCUCAAUUCAAUCUACAGCCUGAAACUCAAAAUCCAGAGACCCUUGAAGAGAUCCAGUCCUCUUCACGUCAGCAAGAAGCCCCAGUGCGGCUUCCACAGCUCCCUGAGGAGGUAGAACCUUCUUCUACCCAGCAGGAGCCCCUAACCCAGCCUCUAGAGGAGGUAGAACCUUCUACAACCUAACAGGAGGCCCCAACUGAGCCUCCAGGUCCUCCUAUGGAGCCUGAACUUUCCCUCAGUGAGCAGGAGCAGCCAGCUCAGCCUUCUGAAUCUUCUGGGGAGCUUGAACCUUCUCACACUGAGGAGGAGACCCUAGCUCAGCCUCCAGAAGAGAUGGAACCUUCUGCAAUCCAAGAGGAGACCCCAACUGAGCCUCCAGGUCCUCCUAUGGAGCCUGAACUUUCCCCCAGUAAGCAGGAGCAGCCAGUUCAGCCUUCUGAGUCUUCUGGGGAGCUUGAAUCUUCUCCAGCCCAGCAGGAAGCCACAGUUCAGGCUCUAGAGCCCCCUAAGGAGGUAGAACCUUCAAGCCAGCAGAUGGUCCCAGCUCAGGUUCCAGAGCCAUCUAAGGAGGUUGCAGCUCAACCUCCAGCUCAUUAUGAGGUGACAUUUCCAACACCAGGUCAGGAUCAAGGUCAGCAUUCAACAUCGCCUAGUGUCACAGUUCAACCUUUGGACCUGGGGCUUACCAUCACUCCAGAAUCCACGACAGAGGUUGAACUUUUUCCAGCCAUGCAGCAGACUGCAACUAAGCCUCCUAAGAAAGUUGUAACCCAGCUUCUAUUAUAUUAAGAGGUAACAUUUCCAACACCAGGUCAGGAUCAAGCUCAGCAUUCAAUGUCAUCCAGUGUUACAGUUCAACUAUUGGACCUGGGACUUACCCUAACUCCAGAACCCAACACAGAGGUUGAACAUUCUAUACCCCUGAGGAAGACUAUAGUUCCUUCAAAGCACCUAAGGUGACACUGCCACAUCCAGACAGUAUUCAGACUCAGCAUUCAAACAUGACUCAACCCACAGUUCAACCUUUGGAUCUGGGGCUUACCAUCACUCCUGAAUCCACUACAGAGGUUGAACCUUCCACAGCCCUGAUGACUACAGCUUCUCCUCCAAAAUACCCUGAGGUGACACUUUCACCUUCACCCAAGAGUCAAGCUCAGCAUUCAAACCUGACUCAACCCACAGUUCAACCUUUGGAUCUGGGGCUUACCUUCACUUCUGAAUCUACUACAGAGGUUGAACCUUCCACAGCCCUGAUGACUACAGCUUCUCCUCCAAAAUACCCUAAGGGGACACUCCCACCUUCAGACAGGGGUCAGACUCAGCAUUCAAACCUGACUCAAGUCAUAGUUCAGCCUCUGACUGGAGUUUACCAUCACGACAGAACCUACUACAGAGGUAAAACUGUCUCCAACCACGGAGGAGACCUCAACUCUGCCUCCAGAUCUGGGGCUUGCCAUAACUCCAGAACCCACUACAGAGACUGGACAUUCUACAGCCCUGGAGAAGACUACAGUUCCUCAUUCAGAUGAGGUUCAGACUCAGCAUCAAAACCUGACUGAAGUCACAGGUCCACCUACUGAACUAGAACCUCCUCAGGAUUCACUGGUGCAGCCUGAAACUUAUGCCCAAAAUAGGGUUUUAACUGCACGAAAAGAACAGGCCUCCACAAGCACCAACAUAUGUGACCUCUGUACCUGCAGAGGUGAGACGCUGUCAUGUACUGAUCUCAGCCCAAAGCAGAGGCUCCGCCACGUGCCUGUGCCAGAGCCGAACACCUACAAUGGCACCUUCACAAUCUUAAAUUUCCAAGGAAACUAUAUUUCUUACAUUGAUGGAAAGGUAUGGAAGGCAUACUGUUGGACCGAGAAACUAGUCUCGCUGUGUCACCAGGCUGGAGUGCAGUGGAACAUUCUGGGCUCACUGCAACCUCCACCUACUGGGUUCAAGCAAUUCUCCUGCCUCAGCCUCCCAAGUAGCUGGGACUACAGGUAUGUGCCACCACACUCAGCUAAUUUUUUGUAUUUUUAGUAGAUAUAGGGUUUCACCAUGUUAACAGGAUGGUCUCAGUCUCUUGACCUUGUGAUUCGCCUGCCUUGGCAUCCCAAGGUGCUGGAAUUACAGGCAUCAGCCACUGUGCCUGGCCACCUCUCUCUCUUUUUCCUCCUUAGGUUCCCAUAAUAUAUAUACUGGUUUGUUUGGCAGUAUUUCACAAGUCUCUUAGGGUUUCUUUACUGUUUUUUUUUUAAUUUUUUUUCUUCUGAUUAGAUGAUUUCAA